rnacentral:rRNA from 1 species
UGGUUACUGCGAUGGAGGGACGGAGAAGGCUAGGCCAGCUUGGCGUUGGUUGUCCAAGUUUAAGGUGGUAGGCUGAAAUCUUAGGUAAAUCCGGGGUUUCAAGGCCGAGAGCUGAUGACGAGUCGUCUUUUAGAUGACGAAGUGGUUGAUGCCAUGCUUCCAAGAAAAGCUUCUAAGCUUCAGGUAACCAGGAACCGUACCCCAAACCGACACAGGUGGUCGGGUAGAGAAUACCAAGGCGCUUGAGAGAACUCGGGUGAAGGAACUAUGCAAAAUGGCACCGUAACUUCGGGAGAAGGUGCGCCGGCUAGGGUGAAGGAUUUACUCCGUAAGCUCUGGCUGGUCGAAGAUACCAGGCCGCUGCGACUGUUUAUUAAAAACACAGCACUCUGCAAACACGAAAGUGGACGUAUAGGGUGUGACGCCUCCCCGGUGCCGGAAGGUUAAUUGAUGGGGUUAGCGCAAGCGAAGCUCUUGAUCGAAGCCCCGGUAAACGGCGGCCGUAACGAUAACGGUCCUAAGGUAGCGAAAUUCCUUGUCGGGUAAGUUCCGACCUGCACGAAUGGCGUAACGAUGGCGGCGCUGUCUCCACCCGAGACUCAGUGAAAUUGAAAUCGCUGUGAAGAUGCAGUGUAUCCGCGGCUAGACGGAAAGACCCCGUGAACCUUUACUGUAGCUUUGCACUGGACUUUGAGCCUGCUUGUGUAGGAUAGGUGGGAGGCUUUGAAGCGUGGACGCCAGUUCGCGUGGAGCCAUCCUUGAAAUACCACCCUGGCAUGCUUGAGGUUCUAACUCUGGUCCGUAAUCCGGAUCGAGGACGGUGUAUGGUGGGCAGUUUGACUGGGGCGGUCUCCUCCUAAAGAGUAACGGAGGAGUACGAAGGUGCGCUCAGACCGGUCGGAAAUCGGUCGCAGAGUAUAAAGGCAAAAGCGCGCUUGACUGCGAGACAGACACGUCGAGCAGGUACGAAAGUAGGUCUUAGUGAUCCGGUGGUUCUGUAUGGAAGGGCCAUCGCUCAACGGAUAAAAGGUACUCCGGGGAUAACAGGCUGAUACCGCCCAAGAGUUCAUAUCGACGGCGGUGUUUGGCACCUCGAUGUCGGCUCAUCACAUCCUGGGGCUGAAGCCGGUCCCAAGGGUAUGGCUGUUCGCCAUUUAAAGUGGUACGCGAGCUGGGUUUAGAACGUCGUGAGACAGUUCGGUCCCUAUCUGCCGUGGACGUUUGAGAUUUGAGAGGGGCUGCUCCUAGUACGAGAGGACCGGAGUGGACGAACCUCUGGUGUUCCGGUUGUCACGCCAGUGGCAUUGCCGGGUAGCUAUGUUCGGAAAAGAUAACCGCUGAAAGCAUCUAAGCGGGAAACUUGCCUCAAGAUGAGAUCUCACUGGGAACUUGAUUCCCCUGAAGGGCCGUCAAAGACUACGACGUUGAUAGGCUGGGUGUGUAAGCGUUGUGAGGCGUUGAGCUAACCAGUACUAAUUGCCCGUGAGGCUUGACC